GUGUCAGCCGCCGCGGUAAUACGGAGGGAGCUAGCGUUGUUCGGAAUUACUGGGCGUAAAGCGCGCGUAGGCGGCUUUGUAAGUUAGAGGUGAAAGCCCGGGGCUCAACCCCGGAACUGCCUUUAAGACUGCAUCGCUUGAAUCCGGGAGAGGUGAGUGGAAUUCCGAGUGUAGAGGUGAAAUUCGUAGAUAUUCGGAAGAACACCAGUGGCGAAGGCGGCUCACUGGACCGGUAUUGACGCUGAGGUGCGAAAGCGUGGGGAGCAAACAGGAUUAGAUACCCUAGUAGUCC
rnacentral:rRNA from 1 species